rnacentral:rRNA from 1 species
CACCGCCCGUCACACCAUGGGAGUCAGGUUGCUCUAGAAGUCGGUGCGCCAACCUCGGAGGCCAGCCGCCUAAAGAGUGACUGGUCGACUCGGGUGA